AACUUUUGUUUUAUUAUUAAAUUUAUUUUAGAUCGUAGUGAUGACUUCUGUCUGUGGUAUGAAAAGAUGCACCGGAGAACUGUCCCCUUCUAUUGGCAAAAGACACUGUGAUUAUCAGCCAUGUCCAGAAUAUACCAAAGCUCAUCAGAUGGAGCCUCAGCCAGAUAAAACCAAUGGCACUAAACUAUGCACUCAAGUCAACUUGAACUAUAUAUGCGGGGAGUGAAAAGCUGUGGCUCCAGGAAAAAAACUGAGGGCUCGAAGUUGAGAUAUUGACUGAGUUUCAGUAGAGCACAAGUAUGUGGUAGAGAUACGGGAACCUACCCCUAGAUCAUCUGAUUUAGUGGACUGUAUUAUUGUAUCUUUAAUUUUAGACCUUAGUAAUUAUAUAUAGAUAUUUAGAUUUUGUGUUGGUUAAUUGUUUCAGGUAUCUCCGAGUACUUGACCAGAGUUCUGUCGAUUUGAAAGUGCAAUGAUGAUUGUUCUAUUUACUUUCAUGAUACAAAAUUCGAAAUUAGUACAAUUCGAAAUUUCACACAAAUUUAGUAUCGUUUAAGGAACUUUUAAAGUGUCUGUGAAAUUUCAAAGUAGAAAUUUUCUUACCUUUAGGUGCUGUCUCAGUUCUUCAUUAUAUGGACCGUUGAUCAAUGGAAUUGAUAAUCAAACGCAAUGCACAUAUGCACUUUUGUCAGAUAAUCGCAGUCUUAAAGGGGGCUCAAUAUUGAAGCCCAUAUCAUUAUGAUAAAAAUAUUUUUCGACUCUCUUUUAACGAUGUGAUAUUUCUGGUCAAUUGCUCGUGAAGUACUUUACAAUGCUCCUAGAAUAUAAAAUUAAGUACUUUUAAAAUAUGGUUUAGUUUGUGGGUAAGGGUGUCUCAAAAUACAUUUGUUAUCAAGUUCGGAAUUCAACUUUUGACUUUUGACCUUUGACUUAAUAUGCAAAAAUAUUUAACUUUCGUAUUUUGAGACCCUCUGCUGUAAUAUUAUUAUAAAAUACAUCAUACCCGAGAGCCAAACAGCUAAAGGUGUCAUCAAAUUUUGGAAAAUGAACAUAUGGUUAUACAACGAAUAGGAAACCCUGUAAACUAUAAAUGAAAUGGUUUGCAUUGAGCUUGUCAUUAAAAUCCCAGUUACUACUAUUAAUAUGACCAAACGACAUACAUUAUUCAGCUGGCGAAGAAUUUACUGAUUUAAAAAUCUCGAUUUAGU